GACAGAGGGUGCAAACGUUGCUCGGAAUCACUGGGCGUAAAGGGCGCGUAGGCGGCCGAUCAAGUCAGGCGUGAAAUUCCCGGGCUCAACCUGGGGGCUGCGCUUGAUACUGAUUGGCUUGAAUGCGGGAGAGGAUAGUGGAAUUCCCAGUGUAGAGGUGAAAUUCGUAGAUAUUGGGAAGAACACCGGUGGCGAAGGCGGCUAUCUGGCCCGUAAUUGACGCUGAGGCGCGAAAGCGUGGGGAGCAAACAGG
rnacentral:rRNA from 1 species